rnacentral:misc_RNA from 1 species
CGGGUUCUGCCCUUCUCGAUACGGUGACGUUCCAGUGGCCUUAAGCAAUUCCGAGGGAACUGGCUCUGUUUGGACCCUGGUCCACUUACCUGGUGCCCACCUGUACAUACAGGUCCUCGGGAGCAAAGAACCAACGGUUGCGGUGGUUCCCGC